rnacentral:rRNA from 1 species
UACAGAGGGUGCAAGCGUUAAUCGGAAUUACUGGGCGUAAAGCGCGCGUAGGUGGUUUGUUAAGUUGGAUGUGAAAGCCCCGGGCUCAACCUGGGAACUGCAUCCAAAACUGGCAAGCUAGAGUACGGUAGAGGGUGGUGGAAUUUCCCGUGUAGCGGUGAAAUGCGUAGAUAUAGGAAGGAACACCAGUGGCGAAGGCGACCACCUGGACUGAUACUGACACUGAGGUGCGAAAGCGUGGGGAGCAAACAGG